AUGGAAGAGGAGAAGGCCUUUCCCAUUGACUCGUCAGGUUUCGAGUUCUUCAUCAUCAUGCUCUCCAAGUCCUUGAAGAAACUGAGGAUGCCAGACAAGUUCGCCAAGGUGCUCGCCGGACGUGAGCCCCGGGAAGUGAAGCUGCGGGAGGCCGGCAGCGGGCGCCGCAGCCUGUGGGACGUGAAGGUGGUGCUGGACGCCGACGGCCACAUGUACCUAGGGCGCGGCUGGGAGCAGUUCGCCCGCGCGCACGACCUGCGGCUCGGCUACUUCCUCGUGUUCAGCUUCGACGGCGACGCCGUGCUCACCGUCAAGGUGUUCGACAUGAGCAUGUGCCGCAGGCACUACCAGCGCGACGACGAUGCCAGUACGGGUGGCACCAGUUCCUGGUGGACAACCGCCUCACCGUCGGCGACACCUGCUUCUUCCGCGCGCUCCGCGGGAGCGACGGCGAGGACCACGAGCUCAAGGUGCAGGUCCGCAAGCUGGACGGCUCCUUCGUGGAGUGAUCGGUGCGGGCGAUCAAGUGUAUCAGCCGUACGGCGUUGGCGUGCUCAUCACCGGCAUGCAUGGCACAACGAUGAGGAGAAUGGAGUUGUUUACUUUUUCCAGUAG
rnacentral:rRNA from 1 species